rfam:Acromyrmex echinatior unplaced genomic scaffold scaffold55, whole genome shotgun sequence.
CAAAUGAUUCUUUUCAGAACCAUAAAUUAUUUAAUGAAGGUUCCAU